GAAGCUAACUUGGUAGUUAUUUUGCGAUCCUCCAAAUCCUCUACUGUAAUUCCUCUACUACUGUACUUCCUUUACUGUACCUCCUUUACUGUACCUCCACUAGUGUACCUCCUUUACUGUACCUCCACUAGUGUACCUCCGUUACUGUACCUCCGUUACUGUGCCUCCACUAGGGUACCUCCCCUGGUGUACCCCCAGCAGCUCCACAGUCCCGCCGACAGCGCCUCCAUGAUGACGUGAGGAUGUGCGGCUGCAGGGCCAACAAGACAUGUAUUUCAACCGCAGGGCCAAGAAGAUCCACAGCGAAGGAGGACCAUCUUGCUCUCCGGCCGCCUACCACAAGGCAGAUGAUGAGAUGUCAGGCAGCAGGUCACAGGCGGAGCCCCUAGAUGCCACCGCACGCACCGUGCUGCUCAACCACACCCAGGCCACCAAGUUCUGUGACAACCACGUCAGCACCACCAAGUAUGGAGUCCUCACCUUCCUUCCCCGCUUCCUGUACGAGCAGAUCAGGAGGGCUGCCAACUCCUUCUUCCUCUUCAUCGCACUUAUGCAGCAAAUCCCUGACGUGUCCCCGACGGGUCGCUACACCACCCUGGUGCCUCUCAUCUUCAUCCUGACGGUGGCGGGCAUCAAGGAGAUCAUCGAGGACUACAAGAGACACACGGCAGACAACACCGUCAACAACAAGAAGACCACAGUGUUGCGUAACGGAGCAUGGACCACCAUCGUGUGGAAACAGGUGGCAGUAGGAGACAUCGUGAAGGUGACCAAUGGCCGCCACCUCCCGGCUGACAUGGUCCUGGUGUCGUCCAGUGAACCUCAGGCUAUGUGCUACACCGAGACCUCCAACCUGGAUGGUGAGACCAACUUGAAGAUCAGACAGGGUCUUUCCCUCACCGCCGCCUUCCAGACUUUGGAGGAUCUGAUGUCCUUGUCUGGUCGUCUGGAGUGUGAAGGUCCAAACCGACACCUGUACGACUUCACCGGGACUCUACGGCUGGACAACCACAAUCCUGCUCCUCUAGGUCCAGACCAGGUCCUGCUGCGUGGCGCCCAGAUCCGAAACACACAGUGGGUGGUGGGGAUUGUGGUCUACACCGGCCAUGACUCCAAGCUGAUGCAGAACUCCACCAAGGCACCGCUGAAGCGGUCCAACGUGGAGCGAGUCACCAACAUGCAGAUCCUGGUCCUGCUGGGCAUCCUGCUGGUCAUGGCCCUCAUCAGCUCUGUGGGCGCUGCCAUCUGGAACACUCAGCACACUGACACUUCCUGCUGGUACCUCUCACGCGUUGGAGACAUCUCAGCUAACUUCGCCUACAACCUCCUGACCUUCAUCAUCCUGUACAACAACCUGAUCCCCAUCAGCCUGCUGGUCACCUUGGAGGUGGUGAAGUUCACACAGGCACUCUUCAUCAACUGGGACAUGGAGAUGUACUACGCAGAGACCGACACACCUGCCAUGGCUCGCACCUCCAACCUGAAUGAGGAGCUUGGCCAGGUGAAAUAUUUGUUUUCUGACAAAACGGGCACCCUCACCUGUAACGUCAUGACCUUCAAGAAGUGUACCAUCGCUGGCAUCACCUACGGACACUUUCCUGAUCUCGACUGUGAUCCAUCCAUGGAGGACUUCAGCAACCUGCCAGCCAGCAGCAACAACUCCACAGACUUUGAUGAUCCAACUCUCAUGGAGAACAUAGAAAAAGGACAUGCGACGGCUCCUCACAUCUGUGAGUUCCUGACCAUGAUGGCGGUGUGCCACACGGUGGUGCCGGAGCAGGAGGACCAGCAGCUGGUCUACCAGUCCUCCUCCCCAGACGAGGGCGCCCUGGUGAAAGGAGCCAAGGGUCUGGGCUUUGUUUUCACCGCCAGGACGCCCAACUACGUCAUCAUGGAGGCGCGAGGCAAGGAGCUGAGCUACGAGCUGCUGAACGUUCUGGAGUUCUCCAGCAACCGCAAGCGCAUGUCGGUGGUGGUGCGCACCCCCAACGGCAGGCUCCGCCUCUACUGCAAAGGGGCGGACAACGUGAUCUUUGAACGCCUCACGGAGGACUCGCAGUACAAGGACUUGACCAUGGCUCACCUGGAGAUGUUCGCCACAGAAGGCCUGAGAACUCUGUGCUUCGCCUACGUGGACUUGGAGGAGGAUGCCUACCAGGACUGGCUGGAGGACUACACCCGGGUCAGCACCGUGCUGAAGGACCGAGCUCUCAAACUGGAGGAGUGUUACGAGCGGCUGGAGAAGAACCUCCUGCUGCUGGGGGCCACCGCCAUAGAGGACCGCCUCCAGGCCGGCGUCCCUGAGACCAUCGCCACUCUCAUGAGGGCCGACAUCAAGAUCUGGGUCCUCACUGGAGACAAGCAGGAGACUGCCAUAAACAUUGGUUACUCAUGUCACCUGGUCACACACGGCAUGUCCCUCAUCAUCAUCAACGAGGACUCUCUGGAUGCGACUCGUGCCACGCUGACCAAUCACUGCUCGUCUCUGGGAGAGUCUCUG